rnacentral:lncRNA from 1 species
AUAUUGAAAUUACUCCAUCAGCUCUGCUCGCCCCCCAUCUCACCCCCCAAGCGGAGUCUGGUCUUGUCGGAUUGCCCAUGCACUUGUUGCAGAAACAGCCAAGAACCAGGCCUCCUCUUCCCACCUGCCCAGCAGCAUGAGAGCAGCAUGACUGGCCGGCCGCAGGAGAAGCCCCUAGAGCCAGGCCCCCAACUCAACCAUCUGCUGCGGAGGUCAAGGUGUGAGCGGCGUCUCUGCACCCCGGUGGUGUUCGGUCCGUACCUCGGCCUGCGCGAGGAUGUAAAGCCCCCC